AAACAUAGGUUAAUGUUGAAAUAUGUCAGCAGGGACCUAAAGCAAAGGUCAUCAGAGAUUUCGAUUACUUUAAUAUCGCAAUUCAAAAAUAUUUUUAUAUUCAUAAUAAUCAUAUAUUUUACAAUUUAAGAUGAACAAUUUAAAUGGUGAAAAUACAGAAAAAAAACAUAAAGUUAAAUGUGCAGGUGGUAAAGUUGACAAAAAGAAAAAGUUAAAAUCGGAAACUGCAGAAAUUAAAGAAAAAAAUCCUAAAGCAUUUACUUUUAAAUCUGCUGUUAAAGCAGAACAAAGAUUUAGACGUAAACAGGACAUUGAAACCAAGAAGCAACAUGUACCAGUUGUUGAUCGAACUCCUAUUGAGCCACCACCACUUUUGGUAGCAGUAGUAGGGCCUCCUAAAGUAGGAAAAACUACACUAAUAGUUAAUCUAGUAAAACUUUUCUCAAAAACCCCAUUAUCAGAUAUAAAAGGUCCUGUCACUUUGGUAAUGGGGAAAAAACAAAGAAUUACAUUGAUGGAAUGUAAAAAUGAUAUCAAUUCAAUGAUAGAUUUAGCUAAAGUGGCUGAUUUAGUAUUGGUUUUAUGUGAUGCAAGUUUUGGCUUUGAAAUGGAAUUUUUUGAAUUUUUAAAUAUUUGUCAGGUCCAUGGUAUGCCAAAAAUCAUAGGCAUUUUAACACAUUUGGAUAUGAUAAAAAACUAUCAAGCAUUAAAGAAUACAAAAAGGAUGCUUAAACACAGAUUUUGGACAGAGGUUUAUCCAGGUGCAAAGUUAUUCUAUCUGUCGGGUAUAGUUCACGGUGAAUACCUGAAAAAUGAAAUAAAAAAUCUUGGUAGAUUUAUUUCAAUAACGAAGUUGCGAUCUUUGAGUUGGCGUUCGACGCAUAGUUAUCUGUUGGUGGAUAGAUUAGAGGAUAUUACCAGUCAGGAAUUGGUGAGAAGAGAUCUACAAUGUAAUAGAAACAUUUUAUUGUAUGGUUAUUUAAGAGGCGUUCCGCUAACCAAACAAAAUUAUAUUCAUAUAGCAGGAGUUGGUGAUCAAAAAAUUCAUUCUGUUGCAAGUUUAAAUGAUCCCUGUCCUUUACCAGAAAGAAAAAAGCGAGCUUUAAUUGAGAAGGAAAAACUUCUUUAUGCUCCCUUUUCGGGCUUGGGUGGAAUCGUUUAUGACCAGGAUGCAGUUUAUGUUGAACUCGCAGGUUCCCACAGUUAUUCACAACAAAAUAAUAGCGAGUCGUAUGCAGUUUCUGCGAAUCUUCUGGAUACAAAAGAAACACUCGAUAUAAAGAUGAAACAGUCAAAAAUUAAAAUAUUUUCGCACGCUGAAAAUGUCGGAGCAGAUGACAUUUUAACGGAAAAUUCUAAAAUUGAAAAUUCCAAAGAAGUAAAUUUUAUGGAAAAUGUGAAGGGAAAUAUUACGGAUAAGAUGAAAAACAUUGGAAAUAAAAGGGACAAUACCGUCAGUUUAGAGAUAAAAUUCGACAAAAAUUUUAUACAGAAAACAAUACCAUCUUUGCAUUUUAAACGAAAUUUAAUGAAAUUUAUUUAUGAUCAUGCACUUAAUGAUAUUGGAGAAAAAGAUGUAAUAAAGACAGAUAUUAACAAUGACAAUAAUGUUGGAAAUUUGUUCAUGCUGAAUUCAAAUGAAAAUCAAAACCACAAACUGAAACAUUUAACAACAGAUUUGUUAGAUUCAUCUCUUCCAUCAUUGCAGAAUUUAAAAACAAAUGAUUGGGUGAAUCUGAAUCAAAAUGGAAUAAAAAAUUGCUUUGUAACUGGCAAAUGGCGUAAUAACGAGAAUGCCGAAGAACUAUUAAAGUUAGAUGAUUUACCAGACUUUGACUCAGAUGAAGAUUAUGACUAUAGCACAGAUGCAGAAACAAUGAGGAGAAAGAAACUUCAACUGAAACAGAAGUUUGAUACUGCAUAUGAUAACUUCUAUAAAGAUGAUUUUUACGACGAAUUAAAAACUCGCAUUGAAAAACAGUCCGAGUUGAAUAAACAAUUGUUGAGUAACAUGAACGAAGACGUUCGGGUAGAAGUUGAAGGUUGUAGACCUGGAAUGUAUGUAAAAUUGGAGUUACAUGAUAUGCCAGCAGAAUUUAUUAAUAAUUUUGAACCGUCCUAUCCAAUCGUAAUUGGUGCAUUAAAUAUGGGAGAAGAAAAUAUCGGCUAUGUAAAUGUAAAGUUGAAAAAACAUCGGUGGUACAAUAAAAUACUUAAAACAAAAGACCCCCUUAUAGUUUCCAUGGGAUGGAGACGAUUUCAAACUUUACCUUUGUAUUUUAAACUAGAGGAUGAUUUAAAAUGCAGAUUUUUGAAAUAUACCCCUCAGCAUGUUUCUUGUUGUGCCCAGUUUUGGGGCCCAGUGACUCCUCAGAACACUGGAUUCUUAGCAAUUCAAAAUGUACAAAAUUGUCCGGAGGUUUUAAAAGACCAAGGCUUCAGAAUUGUUGCUACUGGAACAGUGUCGGAAUUAGAUCAGUCAACCAAAGUUUUAAAGAAAUUAAAAUUGGUAGGAAAUCCUAUUAAGAUUUACAAAAAAACCGCUUUUAUAUCAGGUAUGUUUAACAGCUCAUUGGAAGUUGCGAAGUUCGAAGGUGCGAAAAUAAAAACGGUAUCAGGAAUAAGGGGCCAGGUUAAAAAGGCCGUCAGAGAUAACGGAACGUUUCGGGCUACUUUUGAAGAUAAAAUCCAAUUGAGCGAACGUGGUAUGCUGUUGAUGUGCCCAAAUUUUAUUGUCCAAUUACAAAUCUUGUUUUGCCAAAAGAGAAAAAGGAUUUGUGGAAUGGCGUUAAAACUCUGAGGGAAUUAAAAGUAGAAAGAAAUAUCAAGGAACAACCAUCAUCCGAUAGCUUGUACACCGCUAUAACAAAAGAUUCGAAGGUUUUUAAACCAUUAAUAAUUC
rnacentral:misc_RNA from 1 species